rnacentral:rRNA from 1 species
UACGGGGGGAGCAAGCGUUGUUCGGAUUUACUGGGCGUAAAGGGCGCGUAGGCGGCCUCUGCAAGUCGACUGUGAAAUCUCCGGGCUUAACCCGGAACGGUCAGCCGAUACUGCAGGGCUAGAGUGCAGAAGGGGCAACCGGAAUUCUCGGGUGUAGCGGUGAAAUGCGUAGAUAUCGAGAGGAACACCUGCGGCGAAGGCGGGUUGCUGGGCUGACACUGACGCUGAGGCGCGAAAGCUAGGGGAGCGAACGGG